AUAUAUAUAUAUAUAUAUAUAUAUAUUUCUUCACAUAUAGGUUUAAGCUUGAGUAUGGGCAAACAUGAUUGUAUAAUCCUUAUAUUAUUCAUACCUCACACUAACUUCUCAAUCUUAAGACUUUUAUAACUUGUGUACUUGUAACAUUUCUACAUUGUUAGACAUUGGGUAUAUGUAGAUUAUGUGAUCUACUUGCUUGGAGGGAG
rnacentral:lncRNA from 1 species